rnacentral:rRNA from 1 species
GUAAGACAGUGCUGCAUGGCCGUCGUCAGCUCGUGUCGUGAGAUGUUGGUUAAGUCCGUAACGAGCGCAACCCCUAUCCCUAGUUGCUAGCAGUUCGGCUGAGAACUCUAGGGAGACUGCCGGUGGACAAACCGGAGGAAGGUGGGGAUGACGUCAGGUCAUCAUGGCCCUUACGGCCAGGGCUACACACGUGCUACAAUGGCGCGCACAGAGGGCUGCAAACCCGCGAGGGGGAGCCAAUCUCACAAAACGCGUCGUAGUCCGGAUCGCAGUCUGCAACUCGACUGCGUGAAGUCGGAAUCGCUAGUAAUCGUGAAUCAGAAUGUCACGGUGAAUACGUUCCCGGGCCUU